UACAGAGGGUGCAAGCGUUAAUCGGAAUUACUGGGCGUAAAGCGUGCGCAGGCGGUUAUUUAAGUCGGAUGUGAAAUCCCCGGGCUCAACCUGGGAAUUGCAUUCGAUACUGGAUAGCUAGAGUUCGGCAGAGGGAAGUGGAAUUUCAGGUGUAGCGGUGAAAUGCGUAGAUAUCUGAAGGAACAUCAGUGGCGAAAGCGACUUCCUGGACCAGAACUGACGAUCAGGCACGAAAGCGUGGGGAGCAAGCAGG
rnacentral:rRNA from 1 species